rnacentral:rRNA from 1 species
GUGGAGAGUUUGAUCCUGGCUCAGAUUGAACGCUGGCGGAAUGCUUAACACAUGCAAGUCGAGCGGCAGCAUGCCCUUCGGGGUGAUGGCGAGCGGCGGACGGGUGAGUAAUACAUAGGAAUCUGCCCUAGAGUGGGGGAUAGCCCGGGGAAACUCGGAUUAAUACCGCAUAAUCUCUACGGAGCAAAGUGGGGGAUCUUCGGACCUCACGCUUUAGGAUGAGCCUAUGGCCGAUUAGCUUGUUGGUGAGGUAACGGCUCACCA